rnacentral:rRNA from 1 species
GAUAUUAGGAGGAACACCAGUGGCGAAGGCGGCCUGCUGGACGACAACUGACGGUGAGGCGCGAAAGCGUGGGGAGCAAACAGGAUUAGAUACCCUGGUAGUCCACGCUGUAAACGAUGGAUACUAGGUGUGCGGGGACUGACCCCCCGCGUGCCGCAGCUAACGCAAUAAGUAUCCCACCUGGGGAGUACGAUCGCAAGGUUGAAACUCAAAGGAAUUGACGGGGGCCCGCACAAGCGGUGGAUUAUGUGGUUUAAUUCGAUGCAACGCGAAGAACCUUACCAGGGCUUGACAUCCUACUAACGAGGUAGAGAUACGUUAGGUGCCCUUCGGGGAAAGUAGAGACAGGUGGUGCAUGGUUGUCGUCAGCUCGUGUCGUGAGAUGUUGGGUUAAGUCCCGCAACGAGCGCAACCCUUAUUGUUAGUUGCUACGCAAGAGCACUCUAGCGAGACUGCCGUUGACAAAACGGAGGAAGGUGGGGACGACGUCAAAUCAUCAUGCCCCUUAUGUCCUGGGCUACACACGUAAUACAAUGGCGGCCAACAGAGGGAUGCAAAACCGCGAGGUGGAGCGAACCCCUAAAAGCCGUCCCAGUUCAGAUCGCAGUCUGCAACU